UGACGGUAUCAUAUGAAUAGGCACCGGCUAACUCCGUGCCAGCAGCCGCGGUAAUACAGGGGGUGCAAGCGUUACUCGGAAUCACUGGGCGUAAAGAGCAUGUAGGCGGGUGAAUAAGUUGGAAGUGAAAUCCUAUAGCUUAACUAUAGAACUGCUUCCAAAACUGUUCACCUAGAGUAUGGGAGAGGUAGAUGGAAUUUCUGGUGUAGGGGUAAAAUCCGUAGAGAUCAGAAGGAAUACCGAUUGCGAAGGCGAUCUACUGGAACAUUACUGACGCUCAGAUGCGAAAGCGUGGGGAGCAAACAGGAUUAGAUACCCUGGUAGUCCACGCCCUAAACGAUGUACACUAGUUGUUGCUAUACUAGAUAUGGCAGUAAUGCAGUUAACACUUUAAGUGUACCGCCUGGGGAGUACGGUCGCAAGAUUAAAACUCAAAGGAAUAGACGGGGACCCGCACAAGCGGUGGAGCAUGUGGUUUAAUUCGACGAUACGCGAAAAACCUUACCUGGCCUUGACAUAGUAGGAAUCUUUAAGAGAUUAGAGAGUGCUAGCUUGCUAGAACCUACAUACAGGUGCUGCACGGCUGUCGUCAGC
rnacentral:rRNA from 1 species